CAGCAGCCGCGGGAAUACAGAGGGUGCGAGCGUUAAUCGGAUUUACUGGGCGUAAAGCGUGCGUAGGUGGUUUGUUAAGUUGGAUGUGAAAUCCCCGGGCUCAACCUGGGAACUGCAUCCAAAACUGGCAAGCUAGAGUAUGGUAGAGGGUGGUGGAAUUUCCUGUGUAGCGGUGAAAUGCGUAGAUAUAGGAAGGAACACCAGUGGCGAAGGCGACCACCUGGACUGAUACUGACACUGAGGUGCGAAAGCGUGGGGAGCAAACAGGAUUAGAUACCCCCGUAGUCCCUGUCUCUUAUAC
rnacentral:rRNA from 1 species